UACGGGGGGGGGUAAGCGUUGUUCGGAAUUACUGGGCGUAAAGGGCUCGUAGGCGGCCAACUAAGUCAGACGUGAAAUCCCUCAGCUUAACUGGGGAACUGCGUCUGAUACUGGAUGGCUUGGAUUUGGGAGAGGGAUGCGGAAUUCCCGGUGUAGCGGUGAAAUGCGCAGAUAUCGGGAGGAACACCUAUGGCGAAGGCGGGCUUCUGGUUGACUUCUGACGCUGAGGUGACGAAAGCUAGGGGGAGCGAACGGG
rnacentral:rRNA from 1 species